GCUGUAGCCUCUUCUCCGCCCCACUACUUUGCCUCAGCCAAUCCGUAACCGCUUUUUCUGUUAUGGACAGGCAAGAGUCACCAAUAAUUGUGGGUCACGGAAGACCGUCUUCAUCCCUCCCUGUGGGCGGGGCCUGAGGCUUCCCGGCGCCCCCGAAGAGGUGAAAGGUGAAGAAUAGGGCGGAGCCUCCGGUGGGCGGGGCGAUGCCGGGAGAAGACCGUCUUCUUCCCUCCCUGUGGGCGGGGCCUGAGGCUUCCCGGCGCCCCCGAAGAGGUGAAAGGUGAAUAUGGGGCGGAGCCUCCAGUGGGCGGGGCGAUGCCGGGAGAAGCCAGUGAAGAGGCAGCGUGAGGGGGCGGGGCCGGCGCCGGGGUCGGAGGCCUGUGCCCGUGGCGGGCCGGAGGCCUGUGCCGGUGGCGGGCCGGGAGGGACCUGGGAGCGCGGUUUUGGGUAGAAGCGCAGUGCCGGCUUCUGGCUUCCCGGGCAGCUCCCACACCUGUGCGGACACCCCUGGCCUGCCUUUGCUCUGGCUCUGGGAACGGGCGUGGGGAGCCCUGUUCACCCUCACACCCCGGCUCUAGAGCGGCGCAGGACACUUCGUGUUUGCCAAGUGCGCUAGUGCCACCCAAAAGGCGGCGCAGGUGCUUGAGAAAUAACGGCAGAGGCAGCCCUUGGGAAGGCGCGCCCACCCGACGCUGCUUCUCCGGGCGCCCGAGGCGGAGGGGAGAAGGCACUGGGGUCUCCGUCUCAACCACCAGGGAACGAGGACCCCAGAGCUGCAGCCACCAGGAGCUGGACUCGGGGCCACCGGAAUGCACCUGGAGGAGGAUUCUCCCCCAGAGCCUUCGGGGAAGAGCUCAUCCCAGCCACCACCUUGGUUUAGACCUUGUGAGACCCGGAGUGGAGAGCCCAGUUUAAUUCACUUAAGCCAUAUAGCAACCCUGUGGGGCAGGCAUUUCUUUUUGUCUCCCCAUUUGGUCUUGUUUUUGGGUUUUGGUACCCAGAAUGGAUUCAUCAUAAACUUUGGUUCCCAUUCUCAUCCUCAUGCCUGCUUCCGUGUGUUUAGCUGCUGCAGUCAACAUCCCUGGACCCACCACAUAGAAGAAACCGAGUUUCCCAGGUGAAGAGACUUGCCUGAAAAGGGGUUAACUGACAACUUGGCAGCUGAUCCACUGCUGCUUCCCCUCGCAUGCCGGCUCCAAACUGAAAAUGAUGUUCUGGGUAAGAAAAAUAGCAGCAUAAGGGGCCUCAGACGUUUGAGUUGAAAUAAUUUGAAAUAACUUAAAGCGCCAGACUUCACUAGAGGUGGUUUAAUUGGGAUAAUGAGUUGCACAGGGAAUAAGCAAAUGCAAAGUUAAUUAACAGUCAUUUCCCGGAGACUAUUUGAAGGAGAGAGAGAGCUGUCUGGUCGCUGUGGAAUCCGGGUGUGAUUCAGGUGCCUGCUGUUGGCAUGAUCACUUCUUCCCUGAGGCAGCCAGGGCAGCCACAGAGGUGGGCGUGAGGGGGGCCUUGGCUGGCCCGAAAGACAGGGGAGGAAAGAGGAGGCAAACCCCAUGGAGCUCGAGGAGAUCUUAAAAGCCCAUGGAUGUGAGAGAUAAUUGGAAUCAAAAGCCGAUUAAAUUGUUCCUUACAAGUC